CAUCUCUCCCAAGUGGCUAGGGCUGCCUACCUGGGGCUGUGGGUUUGCGGGACCCACCAUUCAGGAGAAAGUGUAAACCGUUCUGAAGUCGGGACCGUGACUGGCUGACACCUUAGAUUGUCUCUGUGUCGUCUGCAUUGAUAUGCAGGCUCCUUGUCCUUAUGGACUUCGCAGGUGGUCUGCUUGGCCCUCCAGUUAAAGGUCAGGGCUGUCGGGAACAUUAGACCCACCUGGCCACUCCUUCGCUUGGCAGAAGAAGGAAACCCGAGGCCCAGGGAGUCCCAGGCGUCCUGGGCCUUCUCACUCCCGGCUCCCCGAAGCUUUCCCCUUGACCCAGGGGUGCCCGCAACACUGUAUCUCACACACGGCUAUGCACUUGGGUCCGAAGCCCCUUGAACAAUGGGCCACCGGAUUAAUUGGAGCCAGGGAGUUGCUGCUGCUGCUCUUUGCUGGCCCCUGUGACUUCAGUCAAUGACGAUCUGGAUGUUCGUGGACCUGGCCAGCUGGUGUCGCAGGAUGUGUACAGGCCCCCAGAGAAUGGGUGUUCAUUCUUCUGCUCAGACCUGAAAGGCAGGUGCUCCUGGUCAGCAGGCGGGUGUCCUCCAGGCUCUGAUGCCGGGAUUCAGGCUGCCCAUCUUCAACGCAGGCCUGCGAAGAUCGCUUCCCUCCGGCAGAAAGGGACAGAGCGGCGGAGAGUUCAGCGUCUGAUGCAGCGAUGCAGGUGUCGUCGGGGAAACCACGAGGAAAGACGGGGGGGGUGACCAGAAGCGGGAAGAGCAGGGUCUGGCCUGCGGGAGGGAGGACGUGAUGGAGGAGGACCCGGAGAGGCUUCUAAAAGAGGCUGAGGAGAGAAGAGACAGGAAGAGAUGGAGGUGUCCCCCCCGGGGUGUGGGCCACAGGCCAGCCUUUCUCUUGUGACUUUGUCUUGUGCUUCCGUCCAUGUCUUCUUCCCUCCUGGACUGUGUGUUCUCUGGGAGCAGUGAUUGUGUUUCCUGAAUCUCUGUCUCCUGUCACAGGGCUGAGCUCAUAGUUGGUGCUCAGUGAAUGUGGGGGAAUGGAUGGGUGGCUGGAUGGUGGCUGAUGGAUGGCUGGAUGGCCGGAUGGGUGGAUGAUGGCCGGCUGGCCGGAAGGAAGAUGUGAGAAGUGGCUGAUGGAUGGGUGGGUGCCGGAUGGAAGGAAGGAAGGCGAGUGGCCAGUGGAUGGAGGGACGAUGGAGGUGGAAGGAUGCAUGCUGAACUCUUCCUUUAUUCCCAGCCUGGUCACAGAAGAGCUCUUUUCUCAAAAUGAAACAAAACCAAAAAAGGUGCCACAAAGCCCUUGGUGAUGACGGGAUAAAGGAAUAGAUGGUGGCUGUCUCUUGCCCACUUCAGACCCAGAGCUGGCCCGGGAGACACUCAGGUGGGCUCUGCUGGCUGAUGA